rnacentral:rRNA from 1 species
GACGAACGCUGGCGGCGUGCUUAACACAUGCAAGUCGAACGGAAAGGCCCUGCCUUUGUGGGGUGCUUGAGUGGCGAACGGGUGAGUAACACGUGAGUAACCUGCCCUUGACUUUGGGAUAACUUCAGGAAACCGGGGCUAAUACCGGAUAGGAGCUCCUGCUGCAUGGUGGGGGUUGGAAAGUUUCGGCGGUUGGGGAUGGACUCGCGGCUUAUCAGCUUGUUGGUGGGGUAGUGGCUUACCAAGGCUUUGACGGGUAGCCGGCCUGAGAGGGUGACCGGCCACAUUGGGACUGAGAUACGGCCCAGACUCCUACGGGAGGCAGCAGUGGGGAAUAUUGCACAAUGGGCGGAAGCCUGAUGCAGCAACGCCGCGUGCGGGAUGACGGCCUUCGGGUUGUAAACCGCUUUCGCCUGUGACGAAGCGUGAGUGACGGUAAUGGGUAAAGAAGCACCGGCUAACUACGUG